rnacentral:rRNA from 1 species
AGAGUUUGAUCCUGGCUCAGGAUGAACGCUAGCUACAGGCUUAACACAUGCAAGUCGAGGGGCAGCAUGUUGGUUGCUUGCAACCAACGAUGGCGACCGGCGCACGGGUGAGUAACGCGUAUCCAACCUACCCUUGUCCAUCGGAUAACCCGUCGAAAGGCGGCCUAACACGAUAUGCGGUUCACAGCAGGCAUCUAACGUGAACGAAAUGUGAAGGAGAAGGAUGGGGAUGCGUCUGAUUAGCUUGUUGGCGGGGUAACGGCCCACCAAGGCUACGAUCAGUAGGGGUUCUGAGAGGAAGGUCCCCCACAUUGGAACUGAGACACGGUCCAAACUCCUACGGGAGGCAGCAGUGAGGAAUAUUGGUCAAUGGACGAGAGUCUGAACCAGCCAAGUAGCGUGCAGGAUGACGGCCCUAUGGGUUGUAAACUGCUUUUAUAGGGGGAUAAAGUGUGCCACGUGUGGCAUAUUGCAGGUACCCUAUGAAUAAGGACCGGCUAAUUCCGUGCCAGCAGCCGCGGUAAUACGGAAGGUCCAGGCGUUAUCCGGAUUUAUUGGGUUUAAAGGGAGCGUAGGCCGUUUGGUAAGCGUGUUGUGAAAUGUCGGGGCUCAACCUGGGCAUUGCAGCGCGAACUGCCAGACUUGAGUGCGCAGGAAGUAGGCGGAAUUCGUCGUGUAGCGGUGAAAUGCUUAGAUAUGACGAAGAACUCCGAUUGCGAAGGCAGCCUGCUGUAGCGCAACUGACGCUGAAGCUCGAAAGCGUGGGUAUCGAACAGGAUUAGAUACCCUGGUAGUCCACGCGGUAAACGAUGGAUGCUCGCUGUUUGCGUCUGACGU